ACGAACGCUGGCGGCUGCUUAACACAUGCAAGUCGAACGGAGUGGCGAACGGGUGAGUAACGCGUGAGCAACCUGCCUAUGACAGUGGGAUAGCCUCGGGAAACCGGGAUUAAUACCGCAUAGUCAUAGAUGGGCUCGCGUCUGAUUAGCUAGUUGGUGAGAUAACAGCCCACCAAGGCGACGAGCAGUAGCCGGUCUGAGAGGAAGAGCGGACACAUUGGAGCUGAGACACGGUCCAAACUCCUACGGUAGGCAGCAGUGGGGAAUAGUGCAAAAUGGGGGAAUCGCUGAUGCAGCGACGCCGCGUAAACGAAGAAGGUAUUCAUAUCGUAAAGUUCUGUCCUAUGGGAAGCGGUACCAAAGAAGAAAGCUCCGGCUAAAUACGUGCCAGCAGCCGCGGUAAUUC
rnacentral:rRNA from 1 species